rnacentral:rRNA from 1 species
AGUGAACGCUGGCGGCGUGCUUAACACAUGCAAGUCGAGCGAGAUUUGACAGCGUAUCGUCAAGUCUAGCGGCAGACGGGUGAGUAAUACUUGGGCAAUCUGCCCUUGAGUGGGGGACAACCUGCCGAAAGGCGGGCUAAUACCCCAUAAGACCACGGGAAUGCAUAUUCCAGAGGUCAAAGCUCCGCAAGGGGCGCUUGAGGAGGAGCCCGAGUCCUANCAUGGUAGUUGGCGGGGUAAUGGCCCACCAAGCCGUUGACGGGUAGCCGACCUGAAAGGGUAACCGGCCACACUGGCACUGAGACACGGGCCAGACUCCUACGGGAGGCAGCAGUGGGGAAUUUUGGACAAUGGGGG